GGGAUAGGGGUGUGUGUGGUGUGUGUGUGUGUGUGUGUGUGUGUGUGUGUGUGUGUACGCGCGCGUGCACACGCCCACGCGAACAGACU
rnacentral:pre_miRNA from 1 species